AGGGUUGUAGCUCAGUGUUAGAGCAUCUGCUUUACAUGAGGAAGGUCCCAGGUUUGAUCCCUGACAUCUCCA